UAAUACGUAGGGUGCGAGCGUUAAUCGGAAUUACUGGGCGUAAAGCGUGCGCAGGCGGUUCGCCAAGUCAGGUGUGAAAUCCCCGGGCUUAACCUGGGAAUUGCGCUUGAAACUAGCGGGCUUGAGUGUGGCAGAGGGGGGUGGAAUUCCACGUGUAGCAGUGAAAUGCGUAGAGAUGUGGAGGAACACCGAUGGCGAAGGCAGCCCCCUGGGUCAACACUGACGCUCAUGCACGAAAGCGUGGGGAGCAAACAGGAUUAGAUACCCUGGUAGUCCACGCCCUAAACGAUGUCGACUAGGUGUUGGGGAAGGAGACUUCCUUAGUACCGCAGCUAACGCGUGAAGUCGACCGCCUGGGGAGUACGGUCGCAAGAUUA
rnacentral:rRNA from 1 species